rnacentral:rRNA from 1 species
UCUUUUCCUUUUUUUCCAUCCUCCUCUUUAAUACGUAGGCGGCAAGCGUUGUCCGGAAUUAUUGGGCGUAAAGGGAGCGCAGGCGGGAAACUAAGCGGAUCUUAAAAGUGCGGGGCUCAACCCCGUGAUGGGGUCCGAACUGGUUUUCUUGAGUGCAGGAGAGGAAAGCGGAAUUCCCAGUGUAGCGGUGAAAUGCGUAGAUAUUGGGAAGAACACCAGUGGCGAAGGCGGCUUUCUGGACUGUAACUGACGCUGAGGCUCGAAAGCUAGGGUAGCGAACGGG